rnacentral:rRNA from 1 species
UACGUAGGGGGCAAGCGUUGUCCGGAAUCAUUGGGCGUAAAGGGCUCGUAGGCGGUCCGUCACGUCGGCUGUGAAAACCCGGGGCUCAACCCCGGGCCUGCAGUCGAUACGGGCGGACUAGAGUUCGGCAGGGGAGACUGGAAUUCCUGGUGUAGCGGUGAAAUGCGCAGAUAUCAGGAGGAACACCGGUGGCGAAGGCGGGUCUCUGGGCCGAUACUGACGCUGAGGAGCGAAAGCGUGGGGAGCGAACAGG